rnacentral:rRNA from 1 species
CCUACGGGAGGCUGCAGUGGGGAAUAUUGGACAAUGGGGGGAACCCUGAUCCAGCCAUGCCGCGUGUGUGAAGAAGGCCCUCGGGUUGUAAAGCACUUUCAGUGAGGAAGAACGCCUGGUGGUUAAUACCCAUCAGGAAAGACAUCACUCACAGAAGAAGCACCGGCUAACUCCGUGCCAGCAGCCGCGGUAAUACGGAGGGUGCGAGCGUUAAUCGGAAUUACUGGGUGUAAAGCGCGCGUAGGUGGCUUGAUAAGCCGGUUGUGAAAGCCCCGGGCUCAACCUGGGAACGGCAUCCGGAACUGUCAAGCUAGAGUGCAGGAGAGGAAGGUAGAAUUCCCGGUGUAGCGGUGAAAUGCGUAGAGAUCGGGAGGAAUACCAGUGGCGAAGGCGGCCUUCUGGACUGACACUGACACUGAGGUGCGAAAGCGUGGGUAGCAAACAGGAUUAGAUACCCCGGUAGUC